rnacentral:rRNA from 1 species
ACGAACGCUGGCGGCGUGCUUAACACAUGCAAGUCGAACGGAAAGGCCCUGCUUGCAGGGUACUCGAGUGGCGAACGGGUGAGUAACACGUGGGUGAUCUGCCCUGCACUUCGGGAUAAGCCUGGGAAACUGGGUCUAAUACCGGAUAGGAGCCAUUUUUAGUGUGAUGGUUGGAAAGUUUUUUCGGUGUAGGAUGAGCUCGCGGCCUAUCAGCUUGUUGGUGGGGUAAUGGCCUACCAAGGCGGCGACGGGUAGCCGGCCUGAGAGGGUGGACGGCCACAUUGGGACUGAGAUACGGCCCAGACUCCUACGGGAGGCAGCAGUGGGGAAUAUUGCUCAAUGGGCGCAAGCCUGAUGCAGCGACGCCGCGUGGGGGAUGACGGCCUUCGGGUUGUAAACUCCUUUCGCUAGGGACGAAGCUUUUUGUGACGGUACCUAGAUAAGAAGCACCGGCUAACUACGUG